CGGAACGUGCCCAGUCGUGGGGGAUAACUACUCGAAAGAGUAGCUAAUACCGCAUACGAUCUGAGGAUGAAAGCGGGGGACCUUCGGGCCUCGCGCGAUUGGAGCGGCCGAUGGCAGAUUAGGUAGUUGGUGGGAUAAAAGCUUACCAAGCCGACGAUCUGUAGCUGGUCUGAGAGGACGACCAGCCACACUGGGACUGAGACACGGCCCAGACUCCUACGGGAGGCAGCAGUGGGGAAUUUUGGACAAUGGGCGAAAGCCUGAUCCAGCAAUGCCGCGUGCAGGAUGAAGGCCUUCGGGUUGUAAACUGCUUUUGUACGGAACGAAAAAGCUUCUCCUAAUACGAGAGGCCCAUGACGGUACCGUAAGAAUAAGCACCGGCUAACUACGUGCCAGCAGCCGCGGUAAUACGUAGGGUGCGAGCGUUAAUCGGAAUUACUGGGCGUAAAGCGUGCGCAGGCGGUUAUGUAAGACAGAUGUGAAAUCCCCGGGCUCAACCUGGGAACUGCAUUUGUGACUGCAUGGCUAGAGUACGGUAGAGGGGGAUGGAAUUCCGCGU
rnacentral:rRNA from 1 species